AGCGAACGUUAGCGGCGGGCUUAACACAUGCAAGUCGAGCGAGAAAAGGGUUUCGGCCCUGAGUAAAGCGGCGGACGGGUGAGUAAUACGUAGGUAAUUUUCCCUUGAGCGGGGGACAACGUUUCGAAAGGAACGCUAAUACCGCAUAAGUUCUUGAAGACCUUGGUCUUUGGGAGGAAAGCUAGGUAGCAAUAUCUGGCACUCGAGGAGAAGCCUGCGUCGCAUCAGCUAGUUGGUGGGGUAAUGGCCUACCAAGGCGAAGACGCGUAGCUGGUCUGAGAGGAUGAUCAGCCACACUGGGACUGAGACACGGCCCAGACUCCUACGGGAGGCAGCAGUGGGGAAUAUUGGACAAUGGGCGCAAGCCUGAUCCAGCCACGCCGCG
rnacentral:rRNA from 1 species